GUCUACGGCCAUACCACCCUGAACGCGCCCGAUCUCGUCUGAUCUCGGAAGCUAAGCAGGGUCGGGCCUGGUUAGUACUUGGAUGGGAGAAAUGAGAAAGGAGGCUGAAAAGAAGGUGUGGUUGUUC
rfam:Myotis lucifugus cont2.20134, whole genome shotgun sequence.